rnacentral:rRNA from 1 species
AUGACUAUUUAUACACAUUGUAAAUAUCGUUGGGUCAUGCUACCUAAUUUACAUAUUAUUAUUAGUGCAAUGAUGCACACUCUUGAGUUUAUCUAUGUGUUUCUUGUUCUGGAUCUUUUAUUUAGUCAUCAGGUUUGCCCACCUAUGAUUAUGGCUUCUUGCCAAUGGUUGUGGGCUUCAUCUUCCAAGGAUCCUACUUGGCCAAUAUUUGCAGCAUUGGAAAAUUCCUUGCCUUUUUCUUGCACCUGGUGUGUUCAAGUCAUGCCACACUUCUUAAAUAUAUUUCUACAAUGCAAGUUUACUGAAAAUCGUCAUUCUCAUGUUUGCUUCCUAUUGUAA